rnacentral:rRNA from 1 species
CCUACGGGAGGCUGCAGUGGGGAAUCUUGCGCAAUGGGCGAAAGCCUGACGCAGCGACGCCGCGUGAGGGAUGAAGGUCUUCGGAUCGUACACCUCUGUCAGCAGGGAAGUACGGUCACUGUGCUAAUCAGCAGUGAAUUGACGGUACCUGCAAAGGAAGCACCGGCUAACUCCGUGCCAGCAGCCGCGGUAAUACGGAGGGUGCGAGCGGUAAUCGGAAUUACUGGGCGUAAAGCGCUCGUAGGCGGUAUGUCAAGUCAAGGGUGAAAUCCCCGCGCUCAACGUGGGAACUGCCUUUGAAACUGGCAAACUGGAGUGUGUGAGAGGAUAGUGGAAUUCCAGGGGUAGGAGUGAAAUCCGUAGAUAUCUGGAGGAACAUCAGUGGCGAAGGCGACUAUCUGGCACAUAACUGACGCUGAGGAGCGAAAGCGUGGGUAGCAAACAGGAUUAGAUACCCUAGUAGUC